rnacentral:lncRNA from 1 species
CCUGCACAUUUGUUCAUUGUUAGGGCUUCCUCCCAUCAGCCUUCCUAGAUGGCUGGAUCUUGUCCAUGUACUGCGAGAUAUUCCAGAAUGACUUGCUGGGAAAGAGAAACGGCUGCAUCUCACAGGCGGGAAUGUCCAGUGAUGUGGUGGUGUGGGCCUGUGUUAUAGCUCCCAUGAGAGGCUGCCAAAAAGACAGGCCUCAACUGUCAGAACAUGUAAUAAACAUAACCAGCCAGAGGACUGAGGGGAGGCAGAAGGCACACAGUUAACCACUGCAGCAGAAAGUAGCAGAAAUGAAGGAUAUUGCAUUUGAGGAUACUGUGAGAGCUCUGUCAGAGGCUAUCAGAGAAGCUCCCUGCAUGACAGCAGAGUGGUCUAGACUGGACCCCAAGUCAGACCAGCCCAAAUGAGCAAGGUUUGCAGAAGGUGGUUUGUAUAAGAAGACCGAAACAGGGUGCAGCUCAGCGCUUGGGAAAGUUGCAAGGGGCUCUGAAGUGUGUUGUUUGAUUUACAUUUGUGGGGUUCCAUAAAUAGGCACUUCACAGAUGCAGACUCUCAAAAUUCUACCAAGAACCGCACAAUAUAGCUGACCACACUGGUCUGCACUUGAUAAGUGAGGAAAUAGAGGCUCAGAGAGCCAGAAUCACAUAUAUAAUUACUACCAGAGCUGGAAUUCCAAUUCAGGCUCAUCUAAUUUGAAAGCCCAUUCUCUUUACACCACACUUCACUAAGACCAAGUCAGCCCUGCCCCUGGGGAGAAAUUCCCUAAGCCUUUAGCAGAGAUCUUGAUAGUCCUAAUGUAUUAGCUUCUCUAAUACAUGUUUAUAAUUCUUGUUGUUGUUUGCUGCUGAUGUUGUUGGUUGUGUCUUAAGGGAAGGGCUAGGAGGGCUUACUGAGAACACUAUCACGUUCUUUCCAACUUUACAAUAGAAGAGGACUGUCUCAGAAGAGAAUCUGGGGCUCUUCUGGAUGUUGUGGGUUUCACCAUUGGAACUGAUGAUUCUCAUGCAAGAGAAGACCCUCCCUUCCACUGUGGGCACUAAACUGCAGUUCUCUAGACGUCUGGACAGGAAUUUCAGCACAUGCUGGAGGGCCGCUCCCACAGAACUUGUAUCUUUUACUUCAGCAGACUCCUGGCUGCCAGUUCUGUAUCUCUUUCUUUUUCUGGAACCACAGAAGAUCACAUUGUCCAAUGUGCCAGGCUAGAAAUACUAGGGGAUUAAGCUGCAGCUCCAUGUUGAGGUAACUGACUUAAUAGUACACCGUUUAGUGACUAUCUUCCUUCCUCUGUUUUUCUUCUUUUGUUUGUCUACCGUUGUCUGCAUGAACAAAAUAAUCCAUUUGUACCCAAAUAUUUAUAUCAGGCUCUACUUCUGGGAGGGCCAAAACUAAGACUAAGAGCCAUGGUUUCAUGUUUAACCAUGCGAUAAAACCUUGUUCUAUAAGAACAAUUGCUUUCAUUCUAGGGCCCCAUUCACAUAGCACGGAAAACAGUAACGAUGUAACUGUUCUGUAAUAUUUCUGUGCAGAGAAUAUGCAAAACAGUGUGGGCGAGGUUCUUUACCAAAACAAAACAGUGCAGACCAUGUGAUCUCUGGCUCUUUUACUGCAUAAUCUGGCUUUGGAGACAUUGCUACACAUUCAUGCUGAAUGUUCUUGCUCUCUCUCCUAUUUUCAUGCCACUGUGUCUUCAUGCAUAUCCCCACUUGGUUUUGACAAAUCUGGCCUCCUAAGCCUUAAAGCCAUUUCAUUAUUGCUGACACCAGUCCAUUGCUCAGACUCUAAUACCUCACUUUCUCUGGUUAUGUAGGGGAUUUUCUUAUGAUCCUGGAAGACAUCCUGGGAGAUAAAACCUCCGAAGUAUCUGGUUUCUAUUAGAAUCAAGUCUGUAGGAUUAGAAGUUUCUUAAUGCACAAUUAUAAAAUGCACAACACCAGAUGUAGUUGUCCAUAUCUUCUUUCAUAUUCCUCCUUUCCUAUUAUUGCUCAGCUAAAUGUUUCCAUGGGGAAGAAAAACACUUGAAUCUUAAAGUGAACUGUCAGCUGAUGUCCCUGAAGUACAUUCAUGAUAUUGUUCCCAAUGUCCACAUGUCUCUGGAGUCUGUAUCACAUCCUAGAAUCCAUUCUAUGCAACCUCAUUAACUGCAAAGGGCAUGGGACAAGUUAAAAGGGAUCCUGCCUGGCAGGUGAAGCAUGGUGUCUGUAAAACACGGUGAUGGCUACUAUGUCCAUUCAAGCUAGUGGGAUGUUUCAGAUGUAUCCUCUAAAGUGGAUAAACUAACAAUCCAGGUACUGGGAGUGUACCCAGGGGUUAUUCAGAAGUCCAGGCUAGCAGAUUACAUCAUAGAGUUGCAGAGGCUAGAAGGACUUUAGGGUUAGAGGUUGGGCUUGAGUCCUGGCAGCAGCUUAAUAAAAAGCAGUGGUUCUUCACCUGCAUCUGCAAAAGUGAAAUGAGGCCCAUGAAUGUCCUACAGUAUUAUAGAUAUUACAGAAAGAGAAUUACCACAAAACCACCCAGGCUACUAAUGACAACUUCCUUAUCUUUAUUUUGGAAAUGUGGCAGCUUAUCAUGCUCAUAUGUUCAGCAGAAACAUCAAAUAACAUUUACAUAACUUUUACUAGGAAAAAGCCAUGAUAAUGUAAUGAUAAACAUAAAUGCGGUUUAAGUAUUAUUUAUUCCUCCUGUAUCUCUCACUGGACAUAUGUUUCUCAAGGUCAAGUUUCUAUCUUAACUUUGCAUUCUCAGCACCCACCACAGGAAAUGUUAUGUAGUAGAUGCAGAUGAAAUACAGUAUUUGUUGAAUGAAAGUUAAACAAGAAACCAUUUGCAACCUCAGCACUUAACACAGUGUUCUAGUAGGCAAGCAUUUGUUGAAGGACUGAAUUAAGUAUACAAAAUAUUGCACAACAAAAGGACCUGGUUAGUAAAUAUAUUAAAAUGGAUUAUUAUAUAUGUUCUUAUGUCGCAUGAGCAGGAGUGGGACUAACCACCGGGAAACAAGGGAAGUGGAGUUUCAAUCUGAGGAAGAAUCUGUACAGUUACAGCUACUGAAUAGCAAAACAGAGAGGGGGCAGACACUUCUAUUUUCCCUAGCUCCCAAACGCUUCUCACCAUUAUCAUCCACUCACCACUACACUGAUUUCAAAUAUUUCACAGAGCAACCACUAAAUGGAAACAGAUAAUCACAGAUAAUCCUUAUUUUGCAAAUAUGGAAACAGAGAAAUUAAGCGAGCUGGCUCCUAUUGCUCUGUGAGGCUGAGAACUUGGAAUAAGUGUCAUCAUUGAUCAUUCCUCUUCCAGACCACCUAGUUUCUCAUUCAUGAUUAUAUUUCCCUAAAGGGUACACACUUGAGAGUACUUUUCGAAGACUUAGCUCCAAGGACAUUACUAACAUUAAUGUAAACUUCAUCAUAUAACCUGGGAAUAAAAAGCACAAUGGGAGAAAAUUAACUUCUGAGAGCUGGAGGUAAUAAGGAACAGUUGAAAGAGGGAGGAGACUAAAUUUUAUCCCCAGCUCUGGCAUUAACUAACUGUGGGGCAUUAUAGAUAAGUCCUAGAACCUCUCCAGACCUCAGUUUCCCCAUACCAAAAAUGAGGGAAUUGUGGAAGUUACUGUCUGUCAUAUGAUAUUGUGUGUCUCUUUAAGAUUCUGCAAAUUUAGGACACAUAAAAAUAUGAAGUCUUGGGAAUACUAUCCAAGAACCAUCAAGAGAGAAGGUAAGCCAAGUUCAUAAGACAAUUUAAUCCUCAGAAGCAAGACUCAGCCAAUAGCCAGACAGGCUGCGAUUCCCUUUGCUGUGUUUUCCUACUUUUGUGCCAAUCCCAAAAUGCUAAGUCAUUGCUUUUGCUAGAAGGAUAUUUUCUUAUUGCAUUCUGAGGAUUUGAACAAAUAUUUUCUUCUUGAGGAAAGCUUUCAGAACAUUUUCAAAUUGAAGGUUAGGCUUUCACGACAAAAGGAGCCUCCGCUCUGAAAAAUUUAACUCCCAGGUUUGGAUAGAUGCCGCACAUGGAAGAGAGAGAUCAGCAUCUGCUGGGCUACACUUUGUUUGACAUAGCCCUUUCUUUCCACCAAUACUGAAAUGGCUUUCAGCAAAGCCUGUGGGCACUGUGGUUUCCACAGCAGUCCUCUCAGGAGGGGCAGACACUGACAAAGCAUUUAGCUUCAGCCUUGUGACUGGUGACAUGCUGAAGCCAACCAGUUGGCUACCUACAUGGAAAACUAUGAGACUCACCUCCCCCCUUACCCUUGUUUUGUAGAGAUGCCUGCCUGAAAUUCCACUUCUGGGUCCUUAUCCCUUUCCUACAAUUAUGCAGCUUCUUUCAAUUGCAGAGAAGGGUCAGCCUGCAAAAACAACAGGUCCACAAACUAAAACGUUGCUUGCUAAUAAUUUUAUGAAUCAAUCCACAAGAAGUGGGCUCCUAUAAUUCCCUAUUAUUUAAAAGCAUUUAUUAUGCUUUUAAAUCACUUCUGAAUUUUUUUAUUUUUCUUGAUUCCAGUUAGUAGAUGGAAAAAAAUAUAUAAGCUCUAAGGUGGUAAAUGAUUAGAGUUUUUUCACACUGCUGAGUGAAGGGUGUCACAUUUAAUGCAGCUCUGCAUAAAACCAGGCUUCAAAGGUGGCUAAUCAUCUAGUUGUCAAUUCAUCAUUUAGGUAGCAGAGAAAAUAAGCUUCACAUUAAUGUGUAUUUACCCUUUAUAAAUAUUGGCAAACAUUAUCUCUUCUAAAAAUUCUUCUCUGAAUUCCCAGAAUGAAGAGUUUUUCUCUGACCUGUGUUCCCAGGGCAGCCUGAACUUUCCAUGGUCACUUACCAAAAUAUAUUAAAAUUGUGCCUCUGUCUCUCCAGUUGAGAGAGAACAGCCAUGUCUCACUCAGGUUUGUACCUUUCACCUCCUUAGAGACUUUGCUCAAAUGCCACCUUCCCAAUGAGACCAUCUUAUUUAAAAUUUCAACCUAUCCUCUGCCUCUUUUGUUUGUUUGUUUUCCCACAGCAAGUUUACUGUCUGACAUAUUUAAUUAUUUAUUUAUUUGUUUACUUGAUUUAUUUUUAUUGUCUAUUUUCCUCCUCCAGCUAGAGUGUAGACUCUACAAAAAGUAUUCUUUGUUCAUUCCUAUAUCUCAAAAACCUAAAAUAGUAUCUGGUAUAUAGUAGGCCCUCAAUGAAUACUUGUUGCAUAAAUGAAAAGGAAAAAAGAAAAUAUCUUAGGGUCCUUCCAGUAAAAUGUUAGAAUUUUUUUGUCCCAUUGUGGUAAAGUUUGGAAGAUUAGAUUAAGUAAAGUUUAAGAAGCACAUUUAUGAAGUAAGUAAAGAAAGGAUAUUGUGUUUUUUUAAACAAAAUUUUUUCAUCCCUAUCUAACGGACCUCAAAUGUGGAACAGGUAUUUGAUUCAAAUAAUGUGAAGGAAAAACUAUGAGAGCAGUGACUUUAGUUAAGGUUUAAUGAGCUUCAAAGAUCACUCCAUGAAUUCAGAGGACAAAGGGUCAAAGAAGAUAUUACAAGAUUUCUUUCAGAAGAAACUAAUUGAUCUUUUCAAGACUUCCCCAACAGACAAAGAAAAGCCAUUAUGAGCAAGAUAGAUAUACAGAGCAGCCUUUCCACUAAUCCCUUUAGAUUUUCCAAGAAAAAAAAAAGUUCUUCAUGGCCAAAUCAUGUUGGGAAACCUUGUGUAUUUCACAAUUCAUUAUACUAUGAUAAAGGAUUUGAAAUGUACUGCAAGAAUUUAUUUUUGUUUAGCUUAGUGUUUUAUUUGACCUCAGAAGCCUUUUUAUUUUUUUACAUAUUGUACAAAUACACCCCUUUUGCUUGUGAAAUUUUUCUUAAAACCCUCUUUUCGGCUGGGUGCCGUGGCUCAUGCCACGUGUAAUGCCACUUUGGCUCAUGCCAAAGUGUAAUCCCAGCACUUUGGGAGGCUGACCGGGUGGAUCACCUGAGGUCAGGAGUUCGGGACCAGCCUGGCCAACAUAGAGAAACCCUGUCUCUACUGCAAAUACAAAAAUUAGCUGGGUGUGGUGGCAUGCACCUGUAAUCCCAGCUACUCGGGAGGCUGAGGCAGGAGGAUUGCUUGAACCCGGGAGGCAGAGGUUGCAGUGAGCCAAGAUCAUGCUACUGCACUCCAGCAUGGGCAACAUAGCGAGACUCCAUCUCAAAUAAAUAAAUAAAUAACCCUCUUUUCGUCCCUUCUACCCACAUAUGGCCUAAAUCCCCCUAAAUUAAUCUUAACUCCAGAGCUAAUCUAUUGAUGACUUCUGGAGAAAUAAUAUAUCUGGAGAAGGUUAAAUCCAAGGAUGUCAAAAUCUAAUAAUUAUUUAUUAAGAAACUGCUUUAAAUGAGGGCCCAGUAGUAAGCUCAUAUAACUUUCUAUGUAAUAUUAGGAUGAAAUACAGAUAGAAAUGCCAUAUUACCUGGAAGAGGAUGGUGAGGAUUAUUAAGACAUACCAUUAAGAUAAACUCAGUUUAAAGAUAUACUAGGAUCCUAACCACAUGGGAUUAGUAAAGAGAGAAAUGAAGAGAUAGAAGGAGAGAGAGAAAAGAAGAUAUAGAAUCCCUUCUAUAUAGCUAUAGAAUGGAUUGAAUGAAUUUUGGAAAACUGAUUUGGCUCUAAGGUUUAUCUUUUAGAAAGUGGUCAGUAAUUCCAUAUUCAACAUUUAGAGAAGUAUGAGUGCAUGAUUAAUCCCGACAGGUAUCAACAACCCUCGGACUUUCAUCAAAAAGGAUAAAAAUGGUAUUUAUUUAUUCAGCAAAUAUUUACCAGUGUGCAGUAGGCACUUGCUAGGGAUAUAGAAAACAAUAAUAUAGCCUUUAUUCUGAAGACCACAGUCUAGUAGGGAGGAAACACUUGACAAUCAACUUAAUACUCCUACUCCUUCAUGGUAAAUUAUACUUUUUCAUUUGAGCAAUUUCUCAGGAAUCCAUGUGGGAUUUCAGGAAGUAGGUGCUACUAAAAGUCAGAAGGAACUUGACCAUGAAUCCAUUCCUUCACAUCAGGACCCCGACUUCUGGAAUUUGAGGAAGGAAUCUUUUUUAGGGAGUAUUACCAAUGGAGCUUCAGCAACCAGGUAGGCACUGUGGUGGGCAUCACAAAUAUAAUAUCAUAUUUAAUGCUCACAACAAUCUUUUGAGCUACAUAUUUUGAAGAUGGGGAAAUCAUAGUUCAAGACGGGAAGUAAUUUUUCCAAUGUUCUACCAUGUGUAAAUUCCAGAGUCUGACAUCUUUAUUGAGUUUGGUCUUCAUGAUCUGUCAUGAUAAACUAUCCCAAUAUCAGUAAGUCAGAAAGUUCCUCAGGUAUAAAGUAAGAUUGAGACAUUUAUGCAAUCAGGGUAGCACAGAUUUUUACAGUUAUGUUGGUUUAUGUGGAAAUGUAAGGUGCUUAAAUAGAUGCUAGCAUAUUAGAACCUGUGGAAAAUUGGAACCUAAAUUAGAGGUGAAAGGUAGAUAUAGGAAAAGAUAUAGAAGACUAAGGUCAGCCAAGGUGUAAGUCAUAAGAGAAAUAAAAGAAAAUUAAUGUGUUUUUCCCCUAGGUACAUAGUGAGUAUCUUGAAUAUGUGAUGCUAAAUCUCAGUAACAUCAUAAUAAAAUAUGUAGCACAGCCAGCCAGAAAUUAUAUUAAGACAGCAUAUUAAAAAGGAUCCAAUAGUUCAAUAUCUAGAAUAUAGCCUCUGUGUACCAAAUCUUAUUUAACUAAUACCUCUUAAUUGGCAUUUAAGUUGUUUCCUAUUGAAUUUUUUAACUUGAGACUUAAUAAACAUAUUGAAAGUAUUUCUUAAAAAUAACUGAACAAAUUUGAAUGAAACCUUUAAAAACAUACUAUCAAUUAAAUCUAAAUGUAUCUCUUUAACUCAUUUUCUCCAGAUUAGUCUCUUUUCAAUGAAAUUCCAAAUCAAUUUCUGGUCUUUCCUUAAGCUUAGUUGAUAGUAAUCAACCAGUAUGACUAAAAGAAUACAUAGUCCUUGUUCUGGUCCAGUACAAAUCCUUUUUUUUUUAAAUAAGAUUCUAGUUUUUGUUACCCUUGUCCUCUUGUAUAUCCCAUAAGGUCUUGUUGGUCUUCAGUUUAUUAUGGAAUAAUUCUAUUCAUAUUUAUGUCUAUCUAUCUAUCUAUCUAUCUAUCUAUCUAUCUAUCUAUCUAUCAUCUAUCUAUCUAUCCAUACAUACAUACAUAUGACAGUUCGUACUUCCUAUAUCAGCACUUGAUUGACUGUAAGGAUAGUCUUUUCUUCUUCCUCUUCCUCUUCCUCCUCCUCCUUCUCUUCUCCUCUCCUCCCCUCCCCUCCCCCCUACUCCCCUCC